AUCAUAGGAAUGCUUCUGUAUCUCCGGAUAAUGAGAGCUGAAGAAAUAACUCUAAAGAAUAAGUACCAAGACAGACCUGAUCAUAAAACCAAUAACAAAGAAUAUCAGAAGUCUUUUACAUGAAAGAAGAAAAAAAUGCGAGCAAGAAGGCCUAAGAAAGGAGAGGUUUCAAUAGACGAUGUUUAAGAUUAGAAAACAGAGAGAAAUCAGACGGAGCCAAAUUAAAACUGUGAGGUGGAUGAUUAAUGAUUUCCCAUCAAAACUCUCACAAAAUUGCAUUUAUUUGAUGAAAGAAAUAAG